GGGGCCAUAGCUCAGUUGAGAGCGCCUGCUUUGCACGCAGGAGGUUCGGUAACUGAUCCCGCAUAGCUCCG
rnacentral:tRNA from 1 species